rnacentral:rRNA from 1 species
AGAGUUGAUCCUGGCUUAGGAUGAACGCUGGCGGCGUGCCUAACACAUGCAAGUCGAACGAAGCACUUCAAACGGAGAUUCGUCGAAGUUGGAUUUGACUUAGUGGCGGACGGGUGAGUAAUGUGUGAGCAACCUGCCUUUCAGAGGGGGACAACAGUUGGAAACGACUGCUAAUACCGCAUAAUGUAUUGGGAUGGCAUCAUCCGGAUACCAAAGGAGCAAUCCGCUGAAAGAUGGGCUCACAUCUGAUUAGCUAGUUGGUGGGGCAACGGCCCACCAAGGCUGCGAUCAGUAGCCGGACUGAGAGGUUGAACGGCCACAUUGGGACUGAGAUACGGCCCAGACUCCUACGGGAGGCAGCAGGUGGGGAAUAUUGGGCAAUGGGCGAAAGCCUCGACCCAGCAACGCCGCGUGAAGGAAGAAGGUCUUCGGAUUGUAAACUUCUUUUAUGAGGGACGAAGGACGUGACGGUACCUCAUGAAUAAGCCACGGCUAACUACGUGCCAGCAGCCGC